rnacentral:rRNA from 1 species
AGAACGAACGCUGGCGGCAUGCCUAAUACAUGCAAGUCGAACGAACACUUCGGUGUUAGUGGCGCACGGGUGCGUAACGCGUGGGAAUCUGCCCUUGGGUUCGGAAUAACAGUUGGAAACGACUGCUAAUACCGGAUGAUGACGAAAGUCCAAAGAUUUAUCGCCCAGGGAUGAGCCCGCGUAGGAUUAGCUAGUUGGUGAGGUAAAGGCUCACCAAGGCGUCGAUCCUUAGCUGGUCUGAGAGGAUGAUCAGCCACACUGGGACUGAGACUCGGCCCAGACUCCUACGGGAGGCAGCAGUAGGGAAUAUUGGACAAUGGGCGCAAGCCUGAUCCAGCAAUGCCGCGUGAGUGAUGAAGGCCUUAGGGUUGUAAAGCUCUUUUACCCGAGAUGAUAAUGACAGUAUCGGAAGAAAUAACGCCCCGGAUAAACCGUCCGUGCCAGCAGCCGC